AUUGAACGCUGGCGGCAUGCCUUACACAUGCAAGUCGAACGGUAACAGGUCUUCGGAUGCUGACGAGUGGCGAACGGGUGAGUAAUACAUCGGAACGUGCCUAGUAGUGGGGGAUAACUACUCGAAAGAGUGGCUAAUACCGCAUGAGAUCUACGGAUGAAAGCAGGGGAUCGCAAGACCUUGUGCUACUAGAGCGGCCGAUGGCAGAUUAGGUAGUUGGUGGGAUAAAAGCUUACCAAGCCGACGAUCUGUAGCUGGUCUGAGAGGACGAUCAGCCCCACUGGGACUGGGACACGGCCCAGACUCCUACGGGAGGCAGCAGUGGGGAAUUUUGGACAAUGGGCGCAAGCCUGAUCCAGCAAUGCCGCGUGCAGGAUGAAGGCCUUCGGGUUGUAAACUGCUUUUGUACGGAACGAAAAGCCCCGGGUUAAUACCCUGGGGUCAUGACGGUACCGUAGGAAUAAGCACCGGCUAACUACGUGCCAGCCGCCGCAGUAA
rnacentral:rRNA from 1 species